UUCCGUAGGGUGAACCUGCGGAGGGAUCAUUACCGAGUUUACAACUCCCAAACCCAAUGUGAACGUUACCAAACUGUUGCCUCGGCGGGGUCACGCCCCGGGUGCGUCGCAGCCCCGGAACCAGGCGCCCGCCGGAGGAACCAACCAAACUCUUUCUGUAGUCCCCUCGCGGACGUAUUUCUUACAGCUCUGAGCAAAAAUUCAAAAUGAAUCAAAACUUUCAACAACGGAUCUCUUGGUUCUGGCAUCGAUGAAGAACGCAGCGAAAUGCGAUAAGUAAUGUGAAUUGCAGAAUUCAGUGAAUCAUCGAAUCUUUGAACGCACAUUGCGCCCGCCAGUAUUCUGGCGGGCAUGCCUGUCCGAGCGUCAUUUCAACCCUCGAACCCCUCCGGGGGAUCGGCGUUGGGGAUCGGGACCCCUCACACGGGUGCCGGCCCCUAAAUACAGUGGCGGUCUCGCCGCAGCCUCUCCUGCGCAGUAGUUUGCACAACUCGCACCGGGAGCGCGGCGCGUCCACGUCCGUAAAACACCCAACUUUCUGAAAUGUUGACCUCGGAUCAGGUAGGAAUACCCGCUGAACUUAAGCAUAUCAAUAAGNCGGAGGAA
rnacentral:rRNA from 1 species